CAGCCGUAAACUAUGCGCGUUAGGUGUACUGGUGACCACGAGUCACCGGGGUGCCGAAGGGAAACCGUGAAACGUGCCGCCUGGGAAGUACGGUCGCAAGGCUGAAACUUAAAGGAAUUGGCGGGGGAGCACCACAACGGGGUGGAGCCUGCGGUUUAAUUGGACUCAACGCCGGAAAUCUCACCGGAUAGGACAGACAUAUGAUAGUCGGGCUGAAGACUCUACUUGAUGAUCUGAGAGGUGGUGCAUGGCGUCAGUGACU
rnacentral:rRNA from 1 species